AAGAUAUUGAUUUAUCUGAUUUCUGUUUUUCAUUAAUACUAAAAUUAUUACUGGAGUGUUAAGUUCUUCACCUCUCACUCAAAACUUCAGGAACUUGGAACAUCAAACUCUUGACAUGUCAGAGGCAAGACUGAUCUUUUUUCUUUUAUCACCAGGUGAUAAAGUCAGUUCCAGGAACAUAACUAUGAAGCAAUAAUGGAUUACAAUUAUAUGAAUUCUUGGAAGAGACUAAUAAUACUCCACAAUUUUUUAAAAUCUAUGGGACUAAAGUCUACAAAGCCCUAUAUUUUCUUGCUUGUGUCAUAUGCAGUGGAAAUGACAGGAUACAACAGUAAUGGGCAGUGAAUAUCAAAGGCCAGGGAAGGCUAAGCCUUCCCUGACCCAGGCUGUGGCCCCACCAAUGUCCUGCCCCAAGGCCCUACCCUCCCUCCCCCUCUACUCUGAAGCCUGCGGGGGCUCACUCAGCUCCAAUCGCGGCCUGGAGCUCAGGCCUGUUGGUGGCCCAGGGCAGACUGGGGCUGGCCUGGCACUGGGGCCAGCAGCUUGGCCCAGCCAGCGCUGCAGGGGCUGGUGGCUCAGCCCAUCGCUACGGGGGCCAGCCGGCAUGGCUGGGCUGUGGCUUCUCUGACCACUUGCUGGGGAGGGAGUGCUCGGGGCUCCAGUGGGUAGGGGUGGGGCCUCAGGUGGAAGAGGAAAGGCCAGCGGACUAGCAUCCCUGAAGAAGGGGGGGUGUCACCCACGGCCUAUGGCAACAGUAGCUCUAGCAAGGAGUGACAACAGUCAAGGAGAGGUCCUCCUCUAACCAUGAAAAAAUAUCUACGGUGACAACUGACACAAGUGAGAAAAAAUAAAUGGACCUGGUGUGUCAGUAUCAAGUACUUGGGCAGCAGCAUCCAUCAAGCUUAUGGGGACAUAAGAGAAUUCAGUCAGGACAAAAUGAGUUUUUAUUUUCAUGCCAAAAAUAAACAUUGAGACCAAUCCUGUAGUCCUUCAUCCACAACAUUAGACCCUUUUACGACAGUCCAAAUCUGUCAUUUUGCAGUGUUCCUGAAAAUUUAAAAUUAAUUUGUCAAUAUACAUCAGUGAUUCUCAACCCGCAGACCAUGGGCUGCAUGUGGCCCAAUUAGCACACAGCUGUGACCCAGCUCAGCUGUAUGCUAAGGCCAGCCCACGUGGCGGGGUCUGGGUUCCAGCUACCCAGUGCAGUGGGGUCCAGGCUGCCCCGCUGCCCAGCACGGCAGGGUUGGGGUCCAGUCGAGGAUGCCAGCCCCGCCCGCAGAGUCCAGAGUUUGUAGCUGCUGUCCGGCCCCACAAGCUCCAGUGCUGUCACCUGGCCCUGCAAGCUCUGGGGCUGCCUCCCAGCCCCACACAGUGCGGGAUUCAGGGCAGCCAUACAGUGGGGAUCCAGGGUCCAGAAUUGAGGUCUGGGCUGCCACUGCCUGUCACCUGGCCCCUGCAGCCCAGGUAACACGUGAGCUGCAUAUGCGGCCUGCAAUGAUAAAUAAGUUGAGAACCACUGAUAUACAUCAUAGCUGCAAUUUACCAACGCAUUUAUUCAACUUUUUAUAUUAUGUACUUUAAUUUUUUAAAUUAUAGUUCAGAAUAUUGUGUAAUUAAGGCCAAACAUAGAUUUACCAGGAUGCUUAUAAAUUAUAAAAAAGUUCUACAGUGGCAUCGAUGCAAUUCUGCAAUCACUUAUACAUGUGUGUAGCUUUAAGCGCAAGUAGUCUUAUUGACUUGAAUGGGUCUACUUAUAUAUUUAAAGUUAAUCAUGUGUAAAAGUCUUUGCUGGAAUGAGGCCUUAUGCAGUGCAAAACACAAUCAAAAUAAGGUUUAAAUUCUCAGACAAUUAAGAGGAGUCUGCCUACAGAAAAAGCUCAGAUAAGUUUUUAACAAAUUAUAGUUUUAAGAUUAAAUUCCCUUUUAAAAUACUUAUAAAGUACUUUCCACUUUCAUAACACUUUUUAUCGGAGGAUUGUACUUUGUAAACAUUAUAUAUCUCAGUCUCAUAACCCACCUAAGUAAGAUUGAAGGUAAGUAUUAUACUCAUUGUACAGCUGAGUUUCAGAGAAGUUAAGGCCUGAUCCAAAGCCCCUUAAAUUCUUGAAGGCAAUGGGAAGACUUCUAUCCUGCAAAAGAUCCUUGGGGUCACUUACUAGGAGUGGGAAAGGAAACAUCUAUUUUAUAUUUCUUAUUUUCUUUUACAUUUAAAAAAUGACUUGUGUAAUCUAUGGACAGCCUCGCUUCAUUUAGAAAUCUGUAUCUAUGCCACUGUUUCCUUUUUUCAUGUUGUUUACCUUCUUGUGCCAUAGAGAUGAUAUCAUACAAUAAAUAAAGGGCAAAGUCCUUUUGCAAGCA